UAAAACGUAGGAGGCGAGCGUUAUCCGGAUUUACUGGGCGUAAAGCGCGCGCAGGCGGGUCUGUGAGUCGGACGUGAAAGCUCCUGGCUUAACUGGGAGAGGCCGUUCGAUACUGCAGGGCUUGAGGUUGGGAGAGGGGUGUGGAAUUCCCGGUGUAGUGGUGGAAUGCGUAGAUAUCGGGAGGAACACCUGUGGCGAAAGCGGCACCCUGGCCCACACCUGACGCUGAGGUGCGAAAGCGUGGGUAGCAAACAGG
rnacentral:rRNA from 1 species